UCUCCGUAGGUGAACCUGCGGAGGGAUCAUUACUGAGUGAGGGCUUCGGUCCGACCUCCAACCCUUUGUGAACCAUACUUGUUGCUUCGGGGGCGACCCUGCCUCGUCGGCGGUGCUGCGCCCCCGGAGGCCAUUAAACACUGCAUCAUUGCGUCGGAGUUAAAGUAAAUUAAACAAAACUUUCAACAACGGAUCUCUUGGUUCCAGCAUCGAUGAAGAACGCAGC
rnacentral:misc_RNA from 1 species